CUGAUCCGAAAUGUCCUAAAGAUCAAGAAAAAUUGUGCAGAAAUGAGAUUUUCCCGGAUACUUUUACAAAGCGUGAGUUGAAAAAGAUUCGUUUACAUUGUCCCUACGAACAGUGCAAAUGGUUUGGCAGCUAUCAGGAAUUGGAAAGUCAUUCUCAAGUUUGUGAGCAUGCGCUCAUCAACUG